rnacentral:lncRNA from 1 species
CAUAUAUUCGACACAUAUAAUAGUUUCAUGUCAAAAUAAGCAGUAUUUCAACACCCAAAAGCAAAAAAAUAUUAACAUCGAACUUUUAUCAGCAGCAUUAAAAAGCUGAAAAAGAGAUUCCACAGCAAAAUACACGCUUUAUCAGAAUUCACAAGCAAAAAUCACUAAAGCUUAGAGAGCCCAUAUUAAUUUAAGUUGUUCAAAUCCCUAAAUACGAUACAUCCAAUAAACAUACAUAUGCAUACAAGUAAGAACUUACCAGGGCUGUGACUGCGUUUCCGAAGCAGAGAGAGAAGCCUGAGCGACAAAAUGGUGAAGGCUAGGGCCAUCUGUCUUGUUAAAUGCAGAAUUGUGAGAUUGGGAAAAGUUUCAAGAAAGAUUGAGAGAAAAUCUCUUUCUUUUGCGUGUGCGUUGGGGGAAAAGGCCAUGGCAGCACGUAUUGGAAGCUAGAGCAUUGUUGGAGGAGAGGAAUCUGAUGCUGUAGAAGAAGCAUCGACUUUUGAUUUUGAGAUAAUGGUGUGGUUGGUUCAGGAUCAUUGAAAGAGAUCAUGGUAGAGAAGACGCCAUUCGAAGGAGAGCCUCUGUUUAUUUUGUUUGAAAUAUGUAAUUCAAUUUGCGCCUUGAUGGAAUUGUUGGAUAGGGAUUGCAAUUUUCUGCUCUGGUUUGCAUUCA